rnacentral:rRNA from 1 species
GACGAACGCUGGCGGCGUGCCUAAUACAUGCAAGUAGAACGCUGAAGAGAGGAGCUUGCUCUUCUUGGAUGAGUUGCGAACGGGUGAGUAACGCGUAGGUAACCUGCCUUGUAGCGGGGGAUAACUAUUGGAAACGAUAGCUAAUACCGCAUAACAAUGGAUGACACAUGUCAUUUAUUUGAAAGGGGCAAUUGCUCCACUACAAGAUGGACCUGCGUUGUAUUAGCUAGUAGGUGAGGUAAUGGCUCACCUAGGCGACGAUACAUAGCCGACCUGAGAGGGUGAUCGGCCACACUGGGACUGAGACACGGCCCAGACUCCUACGGGAGGCAGCAGUAGGGAAUCUUCGGCAAUGGGGGCAACCCUGACCGAGCAACGCCGCGUGAGUGAAGAAGGUUUUCGGAUCGUAAAGCUCUGUUGUAAGUCAAGAACGGGUGUGAGAGUGGAAAGUUCACACUGUGACGGUAGCUUACCAGAAAGGGACGGCUAACUACGUGCCAGCAGCCGCGGUAAUACGUAGGUCCCGAGCGUUGUCCGGAUUUAUUGGGCGUAAAGCGAGCGCAGGCGGUUUGAUAAGUCUGAAGUUAAAGGCUGUGGCUCAACCAUAGUUCGCUUUGGAAACUGUCAAACUUGAGUGCAGGAGGGGAGAGUGGAAUUCCAUGUGUAGCGGUGAAAUGCGUAGAUAUAUGGAGGAACACCGGUGGCGAAAGCGGCUCUCUGGUCUGUAACUGACGCUGAGGCUCGAAAGCGUGGGGAGCGAACAGGAUUAGAUACCCUGGUAGUCCACGCCGCAAACGAUGAGUGCUAGGUGUUGGAUCCUUUCCGGGAUUCAGUGCCGCAGCUAACGCAUUAAGCACUCCGCCUGGGGAGUACGACCGCAAGGUUGAAACUCAAAGGAAUUGACGGGGGCCCGCACAAGCGGUGGAGCAUGUGGUUUAAUUCGAAGCAACGCGAAGAACCUUACCAGGUCUUGACAUCCCGAUGCUAUUUCUAGAGAUAGAAAGUUACUUCGGUACAUCGGUGACAGGUGGUGCAUGGUUGUCGUCAGCUCGUGUCGUGAGAUGUUGGGUUAAGUCCCGCAACGAGCGCAACCCCUAUUGUUAGUUGCCAUCAUUCAGUUGGGCACUCUAGCGAGACUGCCGGUAAUAAACCGGAGGAAGGUGGGGAUGACGUCAAAUCAUCAUGCCCCUUAUGACCUGGGCUACACACGUGCUACAAUGGUUGGUACAACGAGUUGCGAGUCGGUGACGGCGAGCUAAUCUCUUAAAGCCAAUCUCAGUUCGGAUUGUAGGCUGCAACUCGCCUACAUGAAGUCGGAAUCGCUAGUAAUCGCGGAUCAGCACGCCGCGGUGAAUACGUUCCCGGGCCU